AAAAGAAGAAGUUCAACUAAGACCGUCACGUCCUGUGACAACGUCGAACGACCCCACAUCGUGUGGG
rnacentral:sRNA from 1 species